rnacentral:misc_RNA from 1 species
CACACACACACACACACAGAGAUAUAUAUAUGUAUCACUAAUGCAGCUAUCUUGCCAUGUCCUACUUGCGGAAUGGAGGAGGCUAAUUAAGUAGCACAAUCUAAUAAGCUAGUGGGAAAGUGAAUUAACUAAGCAGAAGGUGGAGUGGGGAAUGAGAAAGAGGGGAUGAAAGAUGGUCUUGGCACAUAGGGAACUCUAGGAGGAAUUAGCGCAGGAGGCAACCUCACAAUUGGUGGCACAGGGAAAUUAUUUGGAGUUUUAGGCAAUGGAGGAAGCUUCAACGCAGGGACGUUGCCAUACAGUUGCUGCAGCCGAC